UCAAGAAACUUCCACAAUGGGCGAAAGCCUGAUGGAGCGACGUCGCGUGAUGGACGAAGUGCUUCGGCACGUAAACAUCUUUUAUGUGGGAUGAAAUUAUUGACAGUACCACAUGAAUAAGGGGCUCCUAACUCUGUGCCAGCAGGAGCGGUAAUACAGAGGCCCCAAGCGUUAUCCGGAAUCACUGGGCGUAAAGGGUGUCGAGGCGGUUGUAUUAGUCGUUCGUAAAAUCUACGAGCUUAACUUGUGGGCGGCGAACGAAACGGUACGACUUGAGGUUUGGAGAGGUGCGUGGAACUCACGGUGUAGGGGUGAAAUCCGUUGAUAUCGUGGGGAACACCAAAGGCGAAGGCAGCGCACUGGCCAAAAUCUGACGCUCACACACGAAAGCUAGGGUAGCGAAGAGGAUUAGAUACCCUUGUAGUCCCUGAGCGGGCUGGCAAGGCGCAU
rnacentral:rRNA from 1 species